AAGACAUAUAGUGCUGGCAGAGCAUUUGACUUUGUUAUUUUACGCCUCACAAUAAAGAAUGUCGCUUGAAAGAGAAGCAAUGUCUGCUUUACUCAAAGCUUGCGUGGUUGCAUUGGCCCUCGUUGCUGCAAAUUCUGUUGCCGAUGAAGAAAAGCCUGCGGAGAAUAUAUUCCAAGAGUUUUGGGCGAGCCAUAACGUUGUGUGGACUUACAACACAUCGGAUAGUCUCUUUGAUGAAUGCAAGCGGCAGGAACGUGUAGGGAAUAAUAUCUCUGGUGUCAUGAUCAAUACCUCGUGGUUAUAUAAAGAAAAAAGGAUAACCUCCGUGCACUACUGGAAAUUUGGUGAAAACGACACGCUUUUGUGCGACACUAAAUGUG